AAAAUGUCGUGCAUUUGUUUCUUCGCUUUGAGUUGCAAGUCGGGGUCCAGUUUUACAAUUUCUUCACCCAUGUAUAGUAUAUUUUGCUUUGCUGCACA